rnacentral:rRNA from 1 species
UACGUAGGGGCCUAGCGUUGUCCGGAUUUAUUGGGCGUAAAGAGCUCGUAGGCGGUUCGGUAAGUCAGGUGUGAAAUCUCCACGCUCAACGUGGAGGCGCCACCUAAAACUGCCGUGACUCGAGUCCGGUAGGGGAGUGUGGAAUUCCCGGUGUAGCGGUGAAAUGCGCAGAUAUCGGGAGGAACACCAGUGGCGAAGGCGGUUGCCUGGGGCUUUGCUGACGCUGAUGCGCGAAAGCGUGGGGAGCGAUCCGG